rnacentral:rRNA from 1 species
UACGUAGGUGGCAAGCGUUGUCCGGAUUUACUGGGCGUAAAGCGCGCGCAGGCGGACUGGUUAGUCCGGGGUGAAAGCUCAUGGCUCAACUGUGAGUGGUCCCCGGAUACUGCCCGUCUUGAGGUGUCUAGAGGAGAGCGGAACUCCCGGUGUAGUGGUGGAAUGCGUAGAUAUCGGGAAGAACACCAGUGGCGAAAGCGGCUCUCUGGGGGCCACCUGACGCUGAGGCGCGAAAGCUAGGGGAGCAAACGGG